CACCAGACUCCUACGGGAGGCAGCAGUGAGGAAUAUUGGUCAAUGGGCGGGAGCCUGAACCAGCCAAGUCGCGUGAGGGAAGACGGUCCUACGGAUUGUAAACCUCUUUUGUCGGGGAGCAAAGCGAGUCACGUGUGACUCAUUGAGAGUACCCGAAGAAAAAGCAUCGGCUAACUCCGUGCCAGCAGCCGCGGUAAUACGGAGGAUGCGAGCGUUAUCCGGAUUUAUUGGGUUUAAAGGGUGCGCAGGCGGAGGUGCAAGUCAGCGGUCAAAUUGCGGGGCUCAACCCCGUACUGCCGUUGAAACUGGGGAUCUUGAGUGGGCGAGAAGUAUGCGGAAUGCGUGGUGUAGCGGUGAAAUGCAUAGAUAUCACGCAGAACUCCGAUUGCGAAGGCAGCAUACCGGCGCCCGACUGACGCUGAGGCACGAAAGCGUGGGGAUCGAACAGGAUUAGAUACCCCAGUAC
rnacentral:rRNA from 1 species